GGAGGAGGAAGAGGAGGAAGAAGAAGAAGUCCUUGAGGAGGGCAAGAAUUAUCUUGCUUGCUUGAAUCUGUAUCCAUGGCACUGAGCUGUUUUAGGCUGCUCCCCACUCACCCUCGUUGUCCAUUUGUGGAGUCUGUCCAAGACGUUCUGAUAGACUAACCCAAUGGAUUGCCCAUCCAAAUGCAAGUCAUGGCCCGGACAACAGGCACUUUUCAUCCACUUGAUGCUCCCUGUGUGGAUUCUUCAACUGACCUCUAUCUAAUGACUGCAGAUCUCACUGCUUUCAAUGCUUCUGAUACAAAGUAAUCAUUGAAUAAAAGCAUUCAGAGAGCCGUGGGGACAUCACUAUUGGGACUUUUCCAGGACAUCCUCCCCGAGGACUAUAUCCCAGACUCAGAUCUCAGAGGUCAUCCAGUCCAACCCCAUGAAGCAGGAGCCUUCUCCAUGGCAUCUCCAACCUGUAACUUCGCUGUAGGACAUAGCAUACUGCCCCAAACAGCUGCCCAGCGGUUGUGUGACCAAUGUGAUCGACCAUGGAUUUAAAAGCAAGGAUGCAAGGAAGAGAACUAAGGAGAAAAAAUGAAAGAAGAGGAAAAACACGAAGAAAAAUUGCUAGCAUUUAACUCCAGGCUGCAGUUUUGAAGCUAAGAACUUUUAUCAAGUCUUCCCAUGAGCAGACAAGAUGGAAAGACGAGCUCUCAAACUUGUUGAAUGACUGUCCUCUCACUGAGGGAAGGCCCCGGGUUUGGCACUGGGGAUACAAAGAUGGAAGACCACAUAAUCUCCUAUCUCAAUAACUUGAUAACUGAAUAGAGGGAAUGACCACCUGGCUGCUUCAAGAGGUCACAGAUGGUGUCUUCUAAACCACUUCUUAUGUGCAAGUCACCAACGGCCCCUUGCCACGGCCUGCCAAGUGAAUUUACACAGCUCUUUGGGGCACCUGUGAUUCUGAUUCUUCAGAGACUGUGGUAUUCUAUGACUUAUGGCCACAUACCAUCCCCAAGAGAAUACUGGUAUUAAAGGAAUGGGCCUUUGUAUCAGGGAGUGGUUGAG